ensembl:lncRNA
GGAAAGGUGACAUCAAUAAGGGAUCAUAACUUUUACCUGGAUUCACCUAGUCAGUCUAUGUCAUAGAAAAAGCAGGUGUGUUUGGCACACUCAGUGUAUAUAAUAUACUGGCCAUUACUUGAACUUUUACAUUCAGGUUUGUGUAUGGUCCAUCUUUAGCUCACACUAACACUUGGUAAGGAAGUUCAGUGUGUAUCCAUCUCUAACACUCAUGGUGUGACGAAGCUGAGCCCAGCACCACACUGCUCUAAUGGUUACUGUGACAUAUUUAUGGCAGUGCGCAGGGCCUGAGAGAGAUAAGGGAUGAAGAGGAAAGUGUUUGGGGGAGACAGUGACUGUAGGACCGUUAGGACCAGGGGUUCCACUUAAAAUUGUCUCCUCUGUUUCCCCAUAGGCUGACAUUGAAGAGGGUGGGAUACAAGACAUCAUCAGAGCUGCCGGGGGUCAGCUCCCUGGGCCAGUAAUGGAGAGGGUUCUCCAUGAGAAUGGACUGGAAGGUCGAUCAGUGCUGGGGAUGGUUACAGUGCAAGUGGAGAGGGAUUCAAAGACAGGGGUCACCAAGAUCAGGUCUGUGGUGCCCGUGUCUGGAGCACCCAGGGCCUUGGGGGAGACGGUGUUCAAUGACAGCAGGAAGAGCGUCCACCACGUCGGCGGGGCAGAGGGGCAGCCUUCUGCUGAGGAGCUGGGACAGCUCCUUAGUGUCAUCAACGAUGUCGGGAUGCAAGUGCUGCUGGAUGAGAUCCCAGUUGUACCACAACAGAAGGCAGAGGAGAAGAUAGAGGUUGGUGGUGGGAUGGAAAAGGAGGUGGACAAUGUGGAGGACCCUGCCGCACCUACAACCCUGGGCUACACUGAGGAAGAGGUUGAGGUUGUGGGGUAUGAGGAUGAUGAGAUGGACGAGGAGAUAGAAAUAGGAGUGGUGGAAAUUGUGGAGGGCCCUAUCCGAACGACCGACCUGGGCUACACUGAGGAAACGGUUGAGGAUCUGGGCUAUGAGGAUGAUGAGAUGGACAAGGAGACAGGAGUAGGUCAGGUAGACCUUGUGGAGGGCACUGUCACACUGACCUUCCUGGGCUACACUGAGGUAAAGUCAGAGAGCGAGGGUCUGGGCCAUGAGGAUGAUAGAGAGUUGGUGGAGGUGGAGAGGGUGAUCAUUUCUGACGCAGGUGAGGAGGAGAUUGUUCUUCAGUCUGAGACUGAACCCUUCCUGGGCUACACUGAGCAAGAGGUUGAGGCUGUGGUGCAUGAGGAUGAUGAGGAGGACGUGAGUGGAUUGGUUGUCUUUGUGGAGGGCCCUGUCCCACCUGUCAUCCUGGGCUACACUCAGGAAGAGGUUGAGGAUCUGGGACAUGAGGAUGAUCCCCCCAGACCAACCCCACGCUACAGAGCCGAGGAAACAGGAAAGAGGGCAUCCAAACACAAUAACAAGUGCUGCUCUAUCAUGUGAUUCUGCACAUGAUAGAGCAUCACCCCCCCAUUCCUCUAAGCUGUGCCACUCAUGAUGAAUGGUCUGUAUGUGUGACCUAAAUCUACAACAUUGUCUAAAUUGCACAGGAUUUGCUCCAGAGAAGCGUGUCUUUGCUCCUCAUCUAAAAUGUCACUGGUAUCCUCUGAGACUACAGUCCCACAUGGCUUGUGUCAAGGAGUGUUUACUGUUAUCCUCCUCUCUUCAAACAGCACUGUGAACAGACUCCAGUGUGACUGUUACAAAGCCCUUCUGCCUCCUGCUGGACACAGUUCAGUAAUGCGACUAGGUUUUACUGCCAGAAUCCCAGCAGCACUCAUCUCACACUCCUCUGGAUUGGUUGUAUCAGCCCAAAAAACGUACUCCGCAUUAUGUCCUCUAGGAAUGAACCAAAGAUGAAGAAUACAGCAACCACUGAUCAGUUUCUUUUUGGAAAUAGAUUUUUAAAUAUUAAUCUCAGAAAUGCCCGAUGUGCCUAUUUCAAUGGCAACUAACCCUUUUGUUCUCUACUUUUAGAGUGUCCUCAUCAGUAAUACAAAUGUUAUGGUUAUGAAUAUCAUAUUGUAUUCCGUCAGUGACCAAAACAGUCUGUUAAAGAAGGGUUGGUUGCCAUUACAUCUAUUCAGUGCGAUUUGUAUGUGUAAGUGUGUUUGGUAGUUGAAUUUUGAUUUAGCCAUGUCUGUUAAUUAAUGAAGGUGGAUAAAAAAAACUGGAAUGUGUGUGAUUAUCAAAACACAAUAUAUUUC